rnacentral:lncRNA from 1 species
CAUUCCCAUUUUUCUUUUCUCUCAUUUUUUUUGAGAUUUUAAUAUUAAAAUAUUUUGAUUAAUUCUUUAUUAUUUCUCUAUAAUUAGUGUCAUUUAUUUGAAUUAAAUUUUGUUAGUAAUGGCAGAUGAACCUUUCUACUCCAUUCUCCACCCACAUUCACAGAUACAAGACCUUUUCUCUUCCUCUACCCACGUAGAAAACCAAACUCCUCAAUUUUUUUAAUUACUUAAAGAGUCUGGCUUUAUGUGACAUCCAACUUCUCGGCUAGUUUAUAUAUCCUCCAAAAUUGAAGCUGUCAACGUUGGUCGUCGAUUCUAUCGGCCGUUGAUUGAAGGAAUAGGCAUCACCGGACGGACUUUAUUCUACUACUAAUUUUGCAAUUAACAUCUUUGAACUUUAUCAUAUGUUUUUACCUCUUACGGAAAGACUAGGUGAGAAUGUUGAACCAUCAAUGAUUGAAAAAAAUGCUAUGGGAAGUAGUCUGAUCCAGCAGAGUGUUGUUGUUGGCCAGGUUUAGGGGCGGAGCCAGCCUUCUUUAGGGGUUCGUCCGAACCUCCUUCGACGGAAAAAUAUACUAUUUAAUGAGUUUCAUGUGAACCUAAUAUGAAGGCAACUUAUCAUCAAUAAGUAUAAAAUGAAUAUAAAGGCAUUCAUAACCCAAAAUAGAAGGUAAAUAACUUUCUUUUGUUUGUCUUCUUAAUCCUUCUUUCCUUCAUAUGUCCCAAUUGUAGGCUCUUAUAGUGAAGGCGACAGUAGAGAAGGAUGCCAGGAGUAGUGAACUGUACUGCAUAUAGUUCAUACUGAUUAUUGGCAAUAAAUGAAUACACAACAGAGAGAGCGGGAGAGCUGCUGAAGGAGUAAAUGCUAAAAAUUCCACAGCAAGCAACAUUAGAGGUGCUAUUGAGUGAAG